CAAGAACCCAACACAGCGUCCCCAAUCACUAGUACUCUAGUGUGGGAGCGCUUAACUGGCGCCCGAGCAGGGACCCACAUUCUUCACGGAAGUAAAGGGAAAUGGUGACGUGUCAAUAAUUCUAUAAAAAUAACUUAUUAAAAAAGCAAGUACAAAUAAAUUGUUCCAAUCCAAUAGGGCAAUUGUUGGCAAAAUUAUGAAGUACUUCUGUGAUUUGCAAAGUAAUGGGGUGAAAGUGCUUGCCAUAACAUAAUACAAUAAAUAAUAACAUAAUUUCUAGCAAGUGUUGGUGUACUUGAUAAUUCUAUAACAUAAAAGAAAUCGUGGCUAAAUGGUGGUAUUGGCAAUACCUAGGUUCAAAUCCGUGCCAAGACGACUCUUAAAACGAAAAUAAAAGAAAUUUGCAGGCAUAAUGGUGGUACGAGAUUUAUUCUCGUAUCGAGGAUCAAAUCCUUGCCGUAAGACAAAUGUCAUAAAAAAUAAAGGUCACAAUUUCCACCUGUGUUGAAUGAUGGGUUUCCGUAUAAAUUAAAAGGAACCUAGUGGUCAAAAUUAAGUUUAAAGCACUAACUAAAAGGCGGUUAUCUGGAAAUCUCUAAUCAACAAGCAAAGCAUAAAUAUGCAAAAAUAAAAACAUGAAUUGCAGAGACCUUCUAUUCGAUCGUGGAAUAACCCUUACCCUAAUAGGUCUUAGAACCAAAGAGGAAUACUUUGGGCUUCCCUUUCGGAAGAGAAUAAGUCUGGCAACAAUAUAGAAAAGAAAAAAGUAAAAUAAAUAAAUAAAUGAAACGAAAGUAAGAGAGAGACCAGAUGAUUAUGGAACCACCCUCACCUAAGUAGGUCUUACACCAAAAAGGAUCCUGCGUGCUUCCCAAGCCAUAUAAAAUAAUAAAAACUGUUUGCCGGUUCGGUAACAAAAGAUAACUAACAAAA